GGUCAAGUUACUAAGAGCUUACGGUGGAUGCCUUGGAGCUAAGGGCCGAUGAAGGGCGUGGCAAGGCUGCGAUAAGCCUCGGCGAGCCGUCUAGCGGGCAUAGCCGGGGAUUCCCGAAUGGGGAAACCCGUACCGGUGUUGAGCCGGUUCACCCCGAUGCAAAUCGGGGAGGUAAGCAGGAGAACUGAAACAUCUAAGUACCCUGAGGAAAAUAAAUCAACCGAGAUUCCCUAAGUAGUGGCGAACGAACGGGGAUCAGCCCAAACCUCCGAGACUUAGUGGUCCGAGGACCUAUGUCUCGGAGGGGUUGUAGGAAACAUCAGAGAAGACCUCGGCAUUCUCAAGGAGUUACAAAUCCCAUUCUUAGUCGAAGGUACCUGGAAAGGACCGUCGUAGAGGGUGAAAGCCCCGUAAGCGAAAGGGAUGGGACUCCUGAUGUUCACCUGAGUACCAUGGGACACGAGGAAUCCUGUGGGAAGCUGGGGGGACCACCCUCCAAGGCUAAAUACCCUUAGCUACCGAUAGUGAACUAGUACCGUGAGGGAAAGGUGAAAAGUACCCCGGGAGGGGAGUGAAAUAGACCUGAAACCGUAAGCUUACAGCAGGUCGGAGUCCGCCAUUAGUGUGGAUGACGGCGUGCCUAUUGAAGAAUGAUCCAGGGAGUUACUUUGUGGGGCAAGGUUAAGGGACUGGAGUCCUGAAGCCGAAGCGAAAGCGAGUCUGAAUAGGGCGAUUAGUCCCUCUAAGUAGACCCGAAACCGGGUGAUCUACCCAUGGCCAGGAUGAAGGUACGUUAACGCGUACUGGAGGUCCGAACCGGUUACUGGUACAAAAGUAUCGGAUGAGUUGUGGGUAGCGGUGAAAUGCCAAUCGAACCCGGAGAUAGCUGGUUCUCCCCGAAAUGCAUUUAGGUACAGCCUCAGUGUAUAGGUGGACGGAGGUAGGGCACUGGAUGGGCUAGGGGGCGUGAGCUUACCAAACCCAACCAAACCACCAAUGCCGUUCAACCGUUUACUGAGAGUGAGACUGUCGGAGAUAAGUUCGAUGGUCGAGAGGGAAACAGCCCAGACCACCAGCUAAGGCCCCCAAGAGCAGGCUAAGUGGGAAACGAGGUAGGGUUCCCCAGACAGCCAGGAGGUUGGCUUAGAAGCAGCCAUCCUUUAAAGAGUGCGUAAUUGCCCACUGGUCGAGGGGUUCUGCGCGGAAAAUGUAACGGGGCUCAAGCCUGUCGCCGAAGCUGUGGUCCCGGUCUCUCAAUUGCAGAGGUCGGGAGGUAGGGGAGCGUUCCUCCUGCGGUGAAGUUCUGACGUGAGUCAGGGUGGAGCGAGGGGAAGUGAGAAUCCUGGAAUGAGUAGCGUUAAUCAGGGUGAGAAUCCCUGACGCCGAAAGCCUAAGGUUUCCUACGCAACGUUCAUCGGCGUAGGGUUAGUCGGUCCUAAGUCGUAGGCGAAAGCCGAAGAUGAUGGACAGUAGGUUAAUAUUCCUACACCACCGCUCUUUCGUUUUAAAGCCGAGGGGGGGUGCGGCAGGGUAGGCAGAUCGUGCCCAUUGGACAUGGCGCGUCCUUGUUCGUAGGCCAUGCCGGGAUAGGUAAAUCCGUUCCGGCGCUAUGAGCUGAGGGAUGAGGGAAUUCGUCCACUUCGGUGGAUGGAAACUCUGUUGAGCCCACACCGACGAGAAAAGCCUCGCGGCUAUGGAAUUGGGGUGUCCGUACCGUAAACCGACACUGGUAGGCAGGGAUAAGCGUCCCAAGGCGUUCGGGCGAACCUCCGCUAAGGAACUAGGCAAAAGGGCCCCGUAACUUCGGGAGAAGGGGCGCCCUGAAGGGUGAAGUCACUAGCUGAUGGAGCACCUUCGGGGCCGCAGAUAAGAAGACCAGGCGACUGUUUAUCAAAAACACAGGUUUCUGCUAAGGGGAAACCCUAAGUAUAGGAGCUGACGCCUGCCCAGUGCCGGAAGGUUAAGGGGAAGGGUGCAAGCUCUGAACUGAAGCCCCGGUGAACGGCGGCCGUAACUCUAACGGUCCUAAGGUAGCGAAACCCCUUGUCGGGUAAGUUCCGACCUGCAUGAAAGGCGUAACGAUCUGGUCACUGUCUCGGCGGAGGGCCCGGUGAAAUUGCAGUGCCCGUGAAGAUGCGGGCGACCUGCGGCAGGACAAAAAGACCCCGUGGAGCUUUACUGCAACCUGGCAUUGGUCUGGGAGCACGGAUGUGUAGGAUAGGUGGGAGGCUGAGAAACCUCGACGCCAGUCGGGGUGGAGCCAUCGUUGAAAUACCACUCUUCCCUGUUCUUGGUUCUAACCCCGAUAUCAAUCGAGGGACAGUGUUUGGCGGGCAGUUUAGCUGGGGCGGCUGCCUCCCAAAAGGUAACGGAGGCGCGCGAAGGUUCGCUCAGGCUGUUUGGCAAUCAGCCGUAGAGUGCAAA
rnacentral:rRNA from 1 species